rnacentral:rRNA from 1 species
UCUACGGGAGGCAGCAGUGGGGAAUAUUGGGCAAUGGCCGAAAGGCUGACCCAGCAACGCCGCGUGGUGGAUGAAGCCCUUCGGGGUGUAAACACCUUUUCUGGGGGAAGAUAAUGACGUA